rnacentral:lncRNA from 13 species
AUAUUGGAUGGAUAGCUAGCAAAAAAAAGCAGGGGAAUACCAACCCAGCUGGGUCACUUUAUGGCAUUUGGGAACUGUAGGAGCUCAGCACAUGCUCUUCAAGGCAAACACCACCCAGAUGAUGACAAACACUGGGGAGCAGCCGCCCCCGGAGACUCUGGCUCCUCCUGCCUCCCUCCCUUUGAAGCUUGGUUUCCUUCCCCUCGGCGGUGCAGCAACGUGACGGGGGACAGUAUGUUCAUCACAUGCUGGCACUCGGACUCUCUGCGGGGCUGAGCCCGACUGCUCCUGCAGCCGCCCAUGUCCUCCCUCCAGAGCAGUUCCUCCGUGGCUGCUUGGGAGAGGGGCAAAUGGGGCGGCUGUAGCCAUUUGCUGGCUUCGGAGAAGGAAUCCCUCCUUCCCCAUCUUACCUGGCUCUGCACACCUCUGCAUGGGUGACUUGUGUGGGACAGGGGGGACAAGAACACUCCCUUGCUGGAGGAAGGGACCAAGCAUUUUUCUGUGCAUAAUCCACCGUAACAGUCAGCAAAGAAAAACUCCCAAACCCUUUUGUUUAAAACAACUGGAUCUCUCUUACCUGCUUCCACAAAUUGAGAGCAUUUUUUCCUGCCCUCUUGUUGCUGAUCCAAGUCAAUUGAUUUGAAAACCUGGAUACCUGAUGGCUGGGGUCUCUGAUGCAUGUACCUGAUGCUCACAGCCACCCACAGCUCAUUGCCUCCUUUGUGAGUCUUGUUCCCCUCCUGUGUUUCUACCUUUGACGUUACACUCCUUGUAUUGCAAGUCCAAAGAACAAAGCUGUCCUCCCCAAGCACUCAGGCACUCCUUCUUUUUCUGACUGAUCUCUGCAGUGCAGAGUUAUUAAUAAAAAAUCACAACGUCAUGUACAGCCCGCACCAUCACAUCUGUCAAUAUCACCACCACGCAAGAUUGUGUGUUUUUUCCAACUUUUAGUGUUUCUUUGCUGCAGAGGUUGUUUAAAAGGAGGAGGAAAGCUGAGAAAUCCCUCCCCACCUGCCAGAAGAAGUGAGUGAUGAUUUCAGUUUGGGAUGUGGCAGUUUGAUGUCAUCAUUCAUGGUUAUUAAAAACUGUUAUUUGCGAAUCUUCAGUUGCUAAAAAUAAAAGAAUUCUAAUACUUUACCAUGAUUUAUCUUAUU